GUGUGUGGCUCAGUGGUAGAGCGCUUGCCUGGCACGUGUGAGGCACUGGGUCCGGUCCUCAGCACCACA
rnacentral:tRNA from 1 species